rnacentral:tRNA from 1 species
UGCAUCGGCUGGGAAUCGAACCCGGGCCGCCCGCGUGGCAGGCGUGCAUUCUAUCACUGAACCACCGAUGGC